rnacentral:rRNA from 1 species
CAGGCGCCACGGGAAUACGAAGGGUGCAAGCGUUACUCGGAAUUACUGGGCGUAAAGCGUGCGUAGGUGGUGGUUUAAGUCCGUUGUGAAAGCCCUGGGCUCAACCUGGGAAUUGCAGUGGAUACUGGGUCACUAGAGUGUGGUAGAGGAUAGUGGAAUUUCCGGUGUAGCAGUGAAAUGCGUAGAGAUCGGAAGGAACAUCUGUGGCGAAGGCGACUAUCUGGGCCAACACUGACACUGAGGCACGAAAGCGUGGGGAGCAAACAGGAUUAGAUACCCCUGUAGUCCCUGUCUUUUAUAA